UCCGCUCCAGCCAGAGCCGGAGCUCCCCAUCACGCAGGGUGGGGCAGCUGCCCCAGCUACUGGCGGAGCAGAAGCGCAGAACCUCCCCUCGGUCCCUCCCAUGGCGUUCCAGGAAGCAGCGGCGCUAUCUGCUGCUAGAGUCAAUCCUCUCGGCCGCUCGACAGCUCGCCGGCCGCCGCCUGCCGGCUCCUUGCGGCCAUGCUCCCUUCCCUGCGUCCCCUCCCUCGGUCCCUCCAUCUGCUGCCCCGCGCCUCCGCACUGUGCGCUGGCCGUGCCCCGGUCUGAUUCAUGGAUGGGGAGGCGGUAGAGCAAGGUGCCGGCGGCGGCGUGGAUGCUCCUGCUGGACACGACCGGGGACGUGGAGUGUCAAUGGCGGCAACAGCACCAGGCAGCAAGGGUAAUGCAGCCGGGCUAUCUACUCCUCCAUCUUCACCGAGCCAAAAACAUUUCAGAAGAUAUGAGCUCUCGACCUCUCGUUUUGUGCAGUCGCUUGCUAGUUGCUACACAGUGUGUCCCUCAAUUGUUCGUUGAAAUGCCAAUGCAAACAAGUGCACACUGUGUUUGGUGGAAUGCUUGCCAAAGCCUUCCGUUCAGUUCGGAAGCAAAUGGGAAACUAUGGAAUUGAGCAAGAGGAAGCAAUUUCAGGUUGAUAAUAAUGCCUAGGAUAAAUUUAGCAAAGUUGGUGACACUAAACCAAGGGAUGGAGGGGGAGGGAGAGCUAGGAAGCGGCGUGGUUGGCAUGCUGGGACAAAGGUGAGUUCUGCCCCAGCUAAAAUUCCUGGCGAGCUCCGCCACUGGCUCCAGCAGCAACCGCCGUGUUUAGGUUUCAAAAAGGUUUAGGUAUCCUGAUGCUUCCCAAUCUCAUGCUUUGGUCCGUCAGAUUAUUUUCAGUAUGGAAACGCCAACACAGCGAUCAAAUAAGCAAUUGCAAGAGAUUCACCACUGUUAUAUCCGGAUUCUCCCGCCAGCGAGGCAUGUGGCAUCUCUGCAGCCGAUUUAACUUCCUGCUGCGGCACUGAUCUGUCCAGAUCAGAAGUAAAUAAAGGAUUCACCACUGUUAUAUCCGAAAUAUUUUACAAGAGUUUUAUAAAAGGGCUUCAUCAAUUAUUAUUA